AUACAGGGAUGGUAAUAUUUUUGUCAACAGCAGUGUUGAUACUAUUGGGUCUGAGUGA
rnacentral:snoRNA from 1 species